GACUCCUUAGCUCAGUGGUAGAGCGUGUGAUUCCAGCUUUGUGCUUUGGAUUCCACAAGGUCGUGCGUUCAAUCCGCCCAGGAGUCA